GAGUAACUAAUGGAUGAUGGAAAUAAUUAAUUGGAUUAAUUAAGUGUUGUGAUUAAUUUAGAAAGUCUGAAGAAAUCAUAAAAGCGAUAAAGAUCGUUUUGGGCUUAAAGAAACGUUCGGGUUUAAUUGGGCCCAUUGGGCUUUUAUUCAAGCAUUGGAUGACUUGAAAUAAAUGAAAGCCCAAAGCCCAAACAACACAAAGAGGGCCGGCCAUUUUAGGUGUGGAAAGGGUGAGAUAUUUAGUCAAGUUGUUGGCUAGGUUUCUUAUGUCUAUAUAAGGAACUUUAUAGUGAUAUUGUUCAUAAGGGUUUUUGUGUGGUUAAAAACAACAAAGAGGCAAAAGAAUAUCUCUCUAAAAACUACACAAAGGCCGGCCACCUUGGGGUGAUUUUACUAACAUAUCUUUCACCCUUUGGUUAUUCCUUCAUCCUUCUCACUACUCUAGUGAGUGAGGAUCUUUAGAGGUUUCCUACUUUGGAAACUUGAAGAGAACCUAGGAGCACUCAUUCUAUCAAAGUGGAGGAGGCAAGGAGGGAAGCUAGGCUCAAGGAGUUCAAGGAACAAAGGGCUUGGAGGUGGUCCAUCCUUGGUCUCAAGUCUAGAUCAAGAGGUAUAAGACUAAACCUUCACUUUGUUCUUUUCUCUAAAAUUUUAUUUGAUGCAUUAUAUAUAUAACCUAUGAACCUUGAAGGGGAUUUGCAUGACUAUAGCUUUGUUAAUAUGUUAUAAAUGCUUCUGCUGCUUUCGUAUAUUAAAUUUUGAUUUGUAUAUGCAUGAUAGUCAUUUAGAAAUCCCAUCCAUGAAUCUCAUAGAUUUCCCUUCAUUAAGUAGUCAAAUUUAUCCUUUACAUAAAAAUCAUAGUUCAAAUUGAAAAGAUUUACAAGCAUGCUACUAAAACAAUGUGUACCUUAGCAAUCCUUGAUUAACCUUCGUGGAUCUAAUACUUUCCAUCAACAAGUCUCAUGAGGAGACAUAAAAUACAUCAUGAUGCAACCGAUUUCCAUGCCUUAAAACCAGAACCUAUAAUGGGGCUCAUACUAGAAAUAUUUGUAACAGAAGACAUGGAACUUAAUCUGCAAUAAACUCCAUGAAAUUAGAUUAAUUUAUACUUGUGGGCAAGAAAAUUACCUAGUAUCUAGUACUAGAUUAAAUGUCACAAGAGGACCUUCAUUAAAAACUUCAACACUUGUGGGCAGAUGAAGCUUUCAUAACUCCUAUGAAAUAAAACUCAUACUUUGCCAUCUUAAUUAAACUAAAAGCAACAAUCCACACCUUAAAACAAGAACAUUAUUCCUUUUAUUCUAAUUAAGAUGCAACUUUGAUAGAAAUAACUCAAAAACACAGUCUCAUCAUCAACUAAGCCAUUGCGGCUUGCUUAGUUGAAAGGACAUUGAUCAACUCCGCCUUGAAACAAAAGGUAACAAGGAUUAAUUAGCCGUAAGUGACAAAAUUAUGAUAACCUGAUUCAAGCUUCGAAUCUUGCCAACAAAUGGCAUUAAUUCCUUCAUGACUCCCAUUGACAUUCAAUUAAUCUCAAGAAGCCUAACAACAUAUUUGAAAGAGAUUAAUCACAUAUAGAACAAGUUGUUUAAGAAUCGUAAUUAUCACACUUACACUACAAUAAUGUCAAUAAUUACAAGAGAACAUGAUGGAGCUAAUUGCUUCGGAAUAGAAACACUUUACGUAAUGUGAAAGAAUAAUACAUUUGCUUUAAUUCAAAAAUCAAUUUGUGAUAUCACCUAAAUGCUUUCUUAAGUCAAACGAGUUCCUUUUCUUUUGUACGUUUCUUUCCGUAGUACAAAACUACUAACAGUAUUAAUUAGCAUUAAAAGCAUGCAUUAGUUUGGUAAAUACCAAAUUAAAUAAAGGAACAACCAAAAUUCUUUUCUUCCAAAGAAAACAUCUCCAAUACAUGUCAUACAUUAGUCUUGAAUAAUUUCUUUUCCUCUUCAAUUAUGGCACAUAAAAUUUUGACUGAUCAAGCAUUGUUUAAAUCCUUUAGGCAUUAGGAAAAACUAACAAACUAUAAUACAAGUUUGGAAGCUCAUGCUUAUUAAUCUGUUAGGUUGUUAGUUUUUCCUAAUGCCUAAAGGAUUUAAACAAUGCCUUUUGCAUUCAUAUUUUCAACACUAGCUUUGGAUUAGUAUUCACUAAAGAAGACCUUUUUAUGUCUAAAUAAAAGAGUUAUUGCACUAGCUUUGAAGAAGAGCAAAACAGUAAGUUGUAUGCUACUCAAGGAGUUAAAGUGAGAGAAUAUAAUAAGGACAAAGUCUAUGUGAGAAAAAAUAAAAGAGAUAAUAGUUUAAUUUUUGUUCUUUCAGGUCUUCAUCAAGUACUAAUCCUAGAGGCUUGGCAAGAUAAUUUAUUGUACUCAUUAUUGAAAUAGUGAAAGUUUGUUGUUGCUGCCCCGUAGACAUAGGCACGUAGCUAAACCAUGUAAAUUCUUGGUGUUAUCUGUCUUGGUUAUUUGUUUUCGGUUUUUGAGUUUGUUUAGUUUUUUCCAUUCUUGAAGGCAAUAUUCACAACAAGUGGUAUCAAAGCCUCGUUUGGCUGAUAUCUAGUUUAGAAUGGAGGGUGCGAUUAGCCCUGUGAUAAAACCCACCCGCUCUAACUAGUUGAUGUGGAAAUCAAUAAUGGAUGACAUGCUUUAUUGUAAAGAACUCCAUGAGCCAAUUGAAGGUGUUAAGAACAAGCCAGCAAGUAUGUCUAAUACCGACUGGAGCAAGAUGAAUUGUAAAGCUAAUGGUAGGAUUUGAUAAUGGUGGAUGAGAGCAUCUAUCCCCAUGUACCUAAAGAUUGAUGUGCAAUCUCUUUGGAAAAAGUUAGAAUCUCUCUUUGAGAAGAAGACCACCGCCAAGAAAGUAUUCCUUAUCAAGAGCUUGUCAACGUGAAGUAUGUAGAAGAUGUUAGUAUGAUCGAGCCCUUGAACAACUUUCAGAGCAUGACCUAUUAGUUGGCCAUUAUGGGUUUGAAUAUUGAGAUAUAAUAUUUAGCACUAUUGUUGCUAGGAUCCUUGCCAGAUGGUUAGGAAACCUUCAUUGUAAAUGUAAACAAUCUAGCUUAUAAUGGUGUACUAUAUAUGGACAAUGUUAAGGAUAACAUGUUCAAUGAAGAAACAAGGAGAAAAGCUUCAAGUGCAAACAUUGGACAAAUCUUUAUCACGGAGAAAAAGAAAAACAUUUUGGUGAGACAAUGUUCGGUGGUGACUACUACUAUUGUGGGUAAAAGGGUCGAUGAAGAAGCAUUGUCGUAAAUGGAAAAUGAACAAAAGGAUGGGACAUAUCGUUGGUGUUGUGACUUACGAAUGAGAGCUUCUUUAAUGUCAAUGAGCGAUGGUUUCUGGCAAAGAAAUCUAUAAUUGCCUUUGCCGAAUGAAGAUGAGAGUUCUGGUCAGCAGGAGCCUGGUCAAGAGAAGUCUGAUUAAGAGGAACUUGGUCAAGAGAAGUUCAAUCAGGAGAAGUCUGGCCAUGAGUAGUUUGAUCAACGGGAGCUUGGUUAUGAAGUUCGAUCAAUGAGAGUUUGGUUAAGAGGAUUAGGGGCUGGUUAUGAGAAGUUCAAUCAAUGAGAGUUUGGUCAAUAGGUGCAAUCCUACUUUCGUAUACCUUCC
rnacentral:lncRNA from 1 species